AACGCACCUUGCGCUCUUUGGUUAUUCCGAAGAGCAUGCUUGUUUGAGUGUCGCGAACUUCUCAACCCCGCCUUAUCUUUGGAUAAGGUAGUCUGGGCUUGAAUCAUGGUCUCUUGCCAUUAACACUGGCUAGACUGAAAGAUAGGAAGCUGUAUGCGCUAAUAGUAACGGCUUGACCUGAUGUUGUAGUAUAAACUCAUCGGGGACGUUACUGACUGUUGCAAAGAGCUUUAAAGGCCCUCUUUUAAAAUACUAGUACAUAAUGACCUCAAAUCAAGUAGGACUACCCGCUGAACUUAA
rnacentral:misc_RNA from 1 species